UGGGCCUUAAACCCCCCCUGAU
rnacentral:tRNA from 1 species